CUGACACAACCCGCUGAGGGUCCAUCCUGAUCCCGGUCAGUGAAGCUGACACAACCCGCUGAGGGUCCAUCCUGAUCCCGGUGACCAUGUCGGUGCUCAGCCCCGCCCCCAGCAGCGCCGACGCCUGCCUGAGCAUCGUCCACAGCCUGAUGUGCCACCGGCAGGGCGGCGAGAACGAGGGCUUCGCCAAGCGAGCCAUCGAGAGCCUGGUGAAGAAGCUGAAGGAGAAGAAGGACGAGCUGGACUCGCUCAUCACCGCCGUCACCACCAACGGCGUCCAUCCCAGCAAGUGUGUGACCAUCCAGAGGACGCUGGACGGACGGCUGCAGGUAGCCGGUAGGAAAGGUUUCCCUCAUGUGAUCUACGCCCGCCUGUGGCGUUGGCCUGACCUCCACAAGAACGAACUGAAACAUGUCAAGUUCUGUCAGUUUGCCUUUGAUUUGAAGUACGACAGUGUGUGUGUGAACCCCUACCACUACGAGAGGGUGGCGUCCCCCGCCACCGCAGGUCCUCAGUCUCUGAUAAAGGAGGAAUUCAUGCAGGACUGUCUGCAGAUCGACCUGCCCCCCCACUCUGACCCAUACGGUCAGCCCCACCCUGUCAGCAUGUAUCCCAGCAUGCCUCUGUCUCCUCCAGGCAGCAGCUCCCUGACAGCUGCAGCUCUGUCUGCCGGCGGCUGCAGCAGUGCAGGAGGUUGCAGUCGGGGCGGGGGUGUCGGUGGGGGUGUUGGCAGUGAGGGCCCGGGCCUUCUUCAGAUCGCCCCGCCUCAGAAUCACGGGGGCCAGCAGGCCUCCCCACCUCACCCAAACGCCCCUCGCACCCCACAGCCUCCUCACCCUCCCACCCCCACCCCCACCCCCCCACACCAGCAGAGUCCUGAGUACAGCAGCCCCCCCAAACCUGUCACCUGGACAGGUAAUGGCCCCACCCCCUACAGCCCCGCAGGACGUCAGCAGAAUGGGCGGAGCCCCCAGCAGCCUCCCUUACAUCAUCACCAUGCGCCCAACACUCACUUCUGGUCACAGCAUCACAGUUCUGCUCCAUAUCCACAACCAGUGUCCAACCACCCAGGUCCGGAGUUCUGGUGCUCCAUCUCGUACUUUGAGUUAGACGUUCAGGUCGGUGAGAUGUUUAAGGUCCAGUCCAGCUGUCCUCUGGUGACGGUGGACGGUUACGUGGACCCUUCAGGAGGAGAUCGUUUCUGUCUGGGACAGCUGAGCAACGUCCACCGCACCGCCGCCAGCCACCGCGCCAGGCUGCACAUCGGGCGGGGGGUUACGCUGGAGUGUCAGGGGGAGGGGGACAUCUGGAUGCGUUGCCUUAGUGACCACUCUGUAUUUGUCCAGAGUUUCUACCUGGACCGUGAGGCCGGCCGAGCGCCGGGAGAUGGCGUGCACAAGAUCUACCCCGGAGCUUACAUCAAGGUGUUUGACCUGAGGCAGUGUCACAGACAGAUGCAGCAGCAGGCAGCUGCAGUUGUUGGUGCGAUUCCUAGGCAGACCAGCGUAGGGGGGCUUACCCCCGCUGUCGGUGUGUGCUCAGGUGCAGCAGGUGUGGGUGUGGACGACCUGCGCAGGUUGUGUAUCGUGCGCCUGAGCUUCGUUAAAGGUUGGGGGUGUGACUACCCGCGGCAGAGCAUUAAGGACACGCCCUGCUGGUUGGAGGUUCACCUGCACCGAGCGCUGCAGCUGCUCGACCAGGUGCUGCACACGCUGCCGCCGCGGGAACACACGCUCUGACACACAGGUGUGUGUUACCUCAUCAGGACGAUCCAUGACCUGUGGGCUGCAGGUGGGCUGGGUUUAGCUCACUGGACAGCCAAUCGCAGUAGAGGAUUCGUCUACAGCUGAAAACAGAGAAGACGGAGCUGUAACAUCUCUGUGAUGGAGCGACACCUGACACCAUCGAGAUUCAUAAGCUCCGCCCACCCCGUCCUCCUCCAGACAGAUCAAUCUGAAGCUUUUCUUCCUUCCUGAUGAUGAAACUGAGACGGCAGCUCGACGCUUUGCUCAGAGGCACUGUGGCUGUUCACGGGGACGGAACCUGGAUUUCUACUGCUAAUGUUUAAUUAUUUACAUCCCCAUAAGUCUCUGCAUUCACUUCUUUUUUAUCACCUUCACAUCAGAUGUUUGUGUUGCAGUGAUGGAAGACAUAUUGAGAUAACUAAAAGUAGAUCAUCACAGAAUGACCCAUCAUGUUAUUUAUUAUGUAUAUUCAGAUAUACAGUUCCUGUACAAAGCAUAUUCACCCUUCUCAAAAGUUUUCAUGUUUUCUUGUUUUACAACAUGGAAUAAAAGGAGAUUUAAUGUGGA